rnacentral:rRNA from 1 species
AACGCUGGCGGCAGGCCUAACACAUGCAAGUCGAGCGCCCCGCAAGGGGAGCGGCAGACGGGAGAGUAACACGUGGGAACGUACCCUUCAGUUCGGAACAACCCAGGGAAACUUGGGCUAAUACCGAAUACGUCCGUAAGGAGAAAGAUUUAUCGCUGAAGGAUCGGCCCGCGUCUGAUUAGCUAGUUGGUGGGGUAACGGCCCACCAAGGCUACGAUCAGUAGCUGGUCUGAGAGGAUGAUCAGCCUCACUGGGACUGAGACACGGCCCAGACUCCUACGGGAGGCAGCAGUGGGGAAUAUUGGACAAUGGGCGCAAGCCUGAUCCAGCCAUGCCGCGUGGGUGAUGAAGGCCCUAGGGUUGUAAAGCCCUUUCGGCGGGGAAGAUAAUGACGGUACCCGCAGAAGAAGCCCCGGCUAACUUCGUGCCAGCAGCCGCGGUAAUACGAAGGGGGCUAGCGU